ACCAGAAGCUAUUUAUGCAGCUGUAAACAAAAGGCCUAAUACACAGUGUUACACAGCAGGAGAGGAGUACGUUGCCCUUUAUUCGUAUUCAAGCUCUGAGCCUGGUGACUUGACUUUCACGGAAGGUGAGGAAAUCCUAGUGACCCAGAAGGAAGGGGAAUGGUGGACCGGGAGCAUUGAUAGCAGAACUGGAAUCUUCCCCUCCAAUUAUGUCAGACCAAAGGAUCCAGAAGCUUCUAGUUAUGCUGGCAAAACUGGAACAAUAAAUAAGAAACCCGAAAUUGCUCAGGUUACUACUGCCUACGUUGCAUCAGGGACUGAACAGCUCAGUCUUGCUCCAGGACAGCUAAUACUUAUCCUGAAGAAAAAUGCCAGUGGAUGGUGGCAAGGAGAGUUGCAGGCAAGAGGGAAAAAGAGACAGAAAGGAUGGUUCCCUGCCAGCCAUGUGAAGUUACUGGGUCCAAGCAGUGAAAGAACCACAUCUGCUGCUCCCUCAGGUGAAA